rnacentral:rRNA from 1 species
UACGUAGGGGGCAAGCGUUGUCCGGAUUUACUGGGCGUAAAGAGCGUGUAGGCGGCCAAGCAGGUCCGUUGUGAAAACUGGAGGCUUAACCUCCAGACGUCGACGGAAACCGCGUGGCUAGAGUCCGGAAGAGGAGAGUGGAAUUCCUGGUGUAGCGGUGAAAUGCGCAGAUAUCGGGAGGAACACCUAUGGCGAAGGCAGCUCGCUGGGACGUUACUGACGCUGAGACGCGAAAGCGUGGGGAGCAAACAGG